GGGCUAGGGUGGCUCCACGAGCGCGUAGAUUGGAAAGGAGAGUCGAGAAGGAGAUCACGGAGCCUAAAAGGGCUCGGCUUUGGCGAAUUUGGCAGAAAAUCCCGUGUGAAUCAGGAUUUAGCUCCCGAUCGGGAGUCCUGCAUGGCUCCGACUUGAGGUUGAAGAAGACCGGCUGACAGGUGGGGUCAUAGUGUCAGAGAGAAUAAAGAAUGGGGCCCGGUUGACAGAGGGGAAGAAGAGAGGGGAGGCGCGGCUUGGAUGGCCGAGUGGGCCGCUGCGAUGCAUUGGGCCGGGGGUGCGAUCGGAGCUGGGCGUUGGGCCACGCAAAGAAAGGAAAAGGGGGAGGGAAGCUGGGCCGCGCGCGCUGGUUAGGGAGUAGGCCGAAAGGGGGAGGAAAGGAGGAGUGGGCCUUCGGGCCAGAAUCAGGUGGGGAGAGUUUUGGUUUGUUUGUUUUUUUCCUUUUUAUUUUAUUCCAAAGCCAUUUGAAACUCAUUUAAAAUUCCUUUUAAAUCAUUUGAAUUUUGAGUUCAAAAAUACUCAGCAUAGUAAACAAAAUGCAGAAGCAUGAGUGCACAAAAAUGUUGCUACACCCUAUGAUAGAUUUUAUUUUGAUGAAAAAUAUUAUUUCUCUAUUUUUCAUGAACACAAAAAUACAAAAUUAAAUCAUUUUCCACCUAUUUCAAAAGUUUUAAAUUUUUGGGUGUUACAGUUGCACCCUAGUUCUACACAUGUCGCUAACUACCCAUCAUCCACCAUCCAUGUCUAGUGUGCCCCUAGAGAAAUCACCAUGAGGAUCUUCAAUGGGGCUAGCACCACACGUACCUAGGGCUGACAUCACUUAUUGCGUUAAUCAGGUGCCAUAGGUUUUUUAGAUCUAUUGGUUAAAGAUGAUGCCAAACAAUUCUUUUGUAUUUUUCUAAUUGAAGAGUGGGUUGAGUCACCCACCACCUCAUCUUCAAUUGCCUAAACUCUAACAAUGGCAUCAUCCUAUUUUGACCUAUAUGUGGUAGGGCUCAGAUCAGGAUCUCUAGGAGAUGAUGACCUUGAACAUUGCUACCUCAUCACUUCAUUCACAUGGUCAUGCUCAUCGAUUCAACAUCACCACCAUUGACUAGGAUGCCUCCGUCAUGACUGCCGCUAGUACUU
rnacentral:lncRNA from 1 species